AUAAAGAUGGGUUUUGGCACCUGGUAGAAGUGUUUACUGAAAGCUGCUUUCACCACCUCUAUCUUGCUGGUAGCUCUGUCCUUACCCUGUAGUAGCAGCAGGUUGGGGACAAGCCCAGGGUGUGCUGAUGCUCUGUGCAGACCCAAGGAAUGGAGCUGAUGGUGCUGGCACCAGAUGUGCCACUCCUGGCUGAGCCACAGACUAUCCUGUGGGAUGGUGCUUCAGGUGACUGCAGCUUUUAAGGGAGGAGGAGCCUGCUGGACCCCUCGGCAAUUUGGAUGCUGGGAGAUGCUCUCCUGCUGUCCCCCUCUUCAGAAGGAAAGGAGUUUAUUGAAAUUUGCCCUGCCAAUCCAUAUCUGGAAACAGAAAACUGUAGAAGCCAAAGGGAAACAAUCAAGACGCUGAAAACGUUAAACCACGGGAGCAGACCAGCUGAAGGUGAUAGCAAAUUCUCCUCCACAUCAAGUUUUUGGGAUGAAAUUGAACUCCUCCUGCAAGGAGGUGCCUUCGGCUAAACCAUACAGAGACCAGAAGGAACAUUUCUCAUAAAGCCGGUCUCAAUCAGCAUGUGAUGUCAUGUCAGACCGUAGCACUUUUGGGCUAUGUGUUGCUUUCAGUGAUAUUCCUACAUCUUUCUGUUUUUGUAAACUCCUGGAGUUUAGCAUGCUAGCCUCAAUUUUUUUUUCAGAAGUGCAGCCUCCGCCCCCCACAGAUGGGAAUUCAUUUGCUAAAAGGAGAGUUGGCAGCAAAGACCAUCCUGAGCUCUAUGGGCUGUGCCUCUUCAGGAGACAGGAUUAUUGCAAGCACUCCCUUUGCACUGAGAUAUUUAAACAGUCUUCCCGGCAAUGUUAAAGAUGUAAGGUGUGCAUGAUUAUGAAAUAUAACUAUACAAUGACUUUCACAUUUAAAAAGCAGCACCAUGCUUUCCAGCUGCAGCCACCAUACUGUCAGAGUAUGAUAUCACUAUGAGCAUUUAUUUCUGGAGAUAAAAUGUGCUGCCUCUCCAAGGCUUUUCCCUCCACACCCAACGGGCUUUGUUGUUUGAGGUAAGAGCUAUCAUUAUCUGUCAGCUCCUCCAACUCGCUGAAAAAUCCAGACCCAGAAGGCAGGCUGGUGCUUCUUGCAUUCAUGAGGAUAAGACAUGUCCACAGGUAUCCCACGCUGUUUUGACUGUACUGCUACAUAGUGUGAGCUACAUGCUAAUACUCUGGGUUUCUUGGCUAGACCCAGAUGACAUCUAAAAACAUACAAAAGAUGUGACGUAGACAAAAAUUUCCAAGAUGAUGUUGCUGAAGAUAAGAGAAAUAUUUCCCAUGUGAAUGGAACAAACACCUGCCAGCUUUCUGACUGAGCAGCAGGUUAUAAAGCAAGUACGACCCAGAAAAGUGGAGGCGUGUAGGACAUCUGAAUGAGAGGUGAGAGAUUAAAACAGCUUUUAUACAUGUGUGGCUGAGAAGCAGCUGAAUUAAACAAACUCAACCUGAAUGCCAGCAUGGUUUGCUGCCCAGCAAAAUUCAAGGCUGCAGGUAUGGAGUGAAGCUAGUGGCCUCACUGACUUCCAGAGUUGGAAGAAAAAAGCCAACGGGAGAAAAGAAGGAAGGUGAUCUGGGAGCAACAGCUGCUGUCUGCUGUCAAACUUUUCUGGAUGGGAAAGGCUGUGAGAAGAUGUGAGACCAGAAUAAGAGUAUGGUGUGGCAUGUUUGCCUUCAGGCAAAACUGUGAGGAACAGCAACAUAAUUCAGUGGGUCAAAAUUCAACCAGAGCAGCACAGUCUGGCCCUGCUGGCUCUAUUCUUUUGCUGCUACAGAUAAUGGCCAGAAGCCAUCCACUUGUGUUCUGAUCUACAUGUUCUCCAUGAUUUCUUCUCAACUAGACUUGCCUCUGAGUGUCUGUUUGCCUUGUCCCUCUUCUGAUGGGUGUUGGAUGUGGCUGACCAUUGAACUAUCUUUGGACUGUCCUUUCUUGCUCAAUCUCCUGGCAUCAGAUGCACCUUGGUGAUGGUACUGGGUUCCCCCUUGGGUUAGGAAGUCCUCACUUAGCUGCAGUCAGUGGCCUUUUUUCACGGCGACUUGCUGCUCGCUGACAGUGAUCCUUGUUGCAAAACUCCAGAAGUCACUUAGACUGAAAUGGGUCAAAACAAGAGAAGAGAAUCACGAGAGGCACCUACAGUAAUUAGGAGUUAGAUGAAAGGCUCAUAUGAUCCAAGGAUAUUCAUCCCUGUCUCCCUUCUAACUGUCAGUUCUGCCAAACAGUUUGUGCAAGUGAGUUCCACCAGCCAAAAACCCGAGCAUUUUUUCGUGUCAUUGUGUGCUUGUUAAUGCUAUACGUAUGCUUUGAAUGUUAUGAUUAUUUAUUAUUAAAUGAAGAAAAACAUC
ensembl:lncRNA